rnacentral:lncRNA from 1 species
CGAUAGAGCGAUGGUCACCCCUUACUUAGUGAUAUCUAAAGCUUAGUGGCUGAUUGCAGCUCGUUUCAGGUGGCUUAUAUAUUUAGAGAGGCGAACACGGUAGCAGACUGAGUUGCCUCUUUUGCUGUCACCACUCGAAGGAGGUUUUGUGGGCAAAGACAAAUUCUGCUUUUUUACCUUUACGUAUUUUUAUUUUCUCUAACACUAUUGGUAGAACUCAUGCACGGUUGACGUGAGCUACCAUAAUACUAAAAAAAUAAAAAUAAUAAUAAAAA